UACGGAGGGUGCAAGCGUUAUCCGGAGUUACUGGGUUUAAAGGGUGCGUAGGCGGGCCUGUAAGUCAGUGGUGAAAUCUUCCCGCUUAACGGGAAAACUGCCAUUGAUACUAUAGGUCUUGAAUUCAGUUGAGGUGGGCGGAAUGUGUCGUGUAGCGGUGAAAUGCUUAGAUAUGACACAGAACACCGAUUGCGAAGGCAGCUCGCUAAACUGACAUUGACGCUGAGGCACGAAAGCGUGGGGAUCAAACAGG
rnacentral:rRNA from 1 species